rnacentral:tRNA from 1 species
GGAGCGGUAGUUCAGUUGGUUAGAAUACCUGCCUGUCACGCAGGGGGUCGCGCGUUCGAGUCCCGUCCGUUCCGCCA